CCUGUCCUCUGUUGUUUACUCUGUUGCCAGUAAACACAUGAACUCCUUCAUUGAAGACAUCCUGUCCAGGAUACAGGACCUGCUGGAGCUAGCUCCUCCUACCUGCUGGAGCUCCUCCUGUAAGUUACCUCUAUACAUUACCCUCUACAGACCAGCUGGAGCUCUUCCUGUAAGUUACCUCUAUACAUUACCCUCCACACAUUACCCUCUACAGACCAGCUGGAGCUCCUCCUGUAAGUUACCUCUAUACAUUACCCUCUACAGACCAGCUGGAGCUCUUCCUGUAAGUUACCUCUAUACAUUACCCUCCACACAUUACCCUCUACAGACCAGCUGGAGCUCCUCCUGUAAGUUACCUCUAUACAUUACCCUCUACAGACCAGCUGGAGCUCUUCCUGUAAGUUACCUCUAUACAUUACCCCUCUACACAUUACCCUCUACAGACCAGCUGGAGCUCCUCCUGUAAGUUACCUCUCCACUCAUAUACAUGAUCCUCUAUACAUUACCCUCUACAGACCAGCUGGAGCUCCUCCUGUAAGUUACCUCUCCCCUCAUAUACAUUAUCCUCUAUACAUUACCCUCUACACAUUACCCUCUACAGACCAGCUGGAGCUCCUCCUGUAAGUUACCUCUACACAUUACCCUCUACAGACCUGCUG